rnacentral:rRNA from 1 species
GGCGGCAUGCCUAACACAUGCAAGUCGAACGCGAAAGCCCUUCGGGGUGAGUAGAGUGGCGGACGGGUGAGUAACGCGUGAGUAACCUGCCCCAUACACAGGGAUAGCCAUUGGAAACGAUGAUUAAUACCUGAUAACACAUAUCUACUGCAUGGUAGAAAUGUCAAAGAUUUAUCGGUAUGGGAUGGACUCGCGUCUGAUUAGCUAGUUGGUAAGGUAAUGGCUUACCAAGGCGACGAUCAGUAGCCGACCUGAGAGGGUGAUC